rnacentral:rRNA from 1 species
CACGUAGGGACCAAGCGUUGUCCGGAUUCAUUGGGCGUAAAGAGCUCGUAGGCGGUUCGAUAAGUCGGGUGUGAAACCUCCAGGCUCAACCUGGAGACGCCACCCGAUACUGUCGUGACUAGAGUCCAGUAGGGGAGCGUGGAAUUCCCGGUGUAGCGGUGAAAUGCGCAGAUAUCGGGAGGAACACCAAUGGCGAAGGCAGCUCGCUGGGACGGUACUGACGCUGAGACGCGAAAGCGUGGGGAGCAAACAGG